ensembl:lncRNA
UUAACAGCCUGAGGUAACAGCGAACAGUGAAAGAAUGCUGAAGCCUCAGGAGAGAUGAGUGAACCCACAGAAGAGGAGGGAAGGGAGCCAGCAGGGAGGGAAGACGGAGUUCAUUGCUGAGCGAUUCCUUGGGUGGUCUCACCUUGGAGUCUUCAACUGCUGUCCAGUUUCAAACACCUAAUCUGUGACUAAAGAAAAAAUGAUGAAGAGAAAGGAGUCAAUCUGGGUGACCAGCUGGUGUCUGAACACAGGUGCAUCGGAAGCACUCCUGUGACCUCAGCGCCUCUCCCUGGAUACGCCCACCCCAGGCAAUUCCAAGCCUCCACCGGAGACCUCAAGGCAGCCCCAGCAGCAC